rfam:Gallibacterium salpingitidis strain F150 contig000011, whole genome shotgun sequence.
CUUUACUGCCGCAUAGGCAGCUUAGAAA